rnacentral:lncRNA from 1 species
UUUUAAGUCUACUUGCAAGCUAAGGAAGUAGAUUAAGUAAGCUUGUUAGUUUGUCACAGUUUUAUGGAUGCUGGUGGAAGACAUGAAACUCCUGGAUCCAAGACAAAGGAUAGUUCAUUACUCAUAGCAAUAAUAGUAGCCAGUCUCUCACCAUGUUUGGUCAGUUUCCCCUUGCUUCCAUGUUCCAUAGGGAUGAAGUGAAUGGACCCAGGUAGAUGUCUUAUUCACAGUGAGCUUUAUUCCAGGAGAGGAAUCCUGACUCGGGAAAUCUGAAUCUUUUAUAAUGGCAGGAAGUAUGCUUGCCCUUUGCUUUGGAAAGAGGUAUAAUUAUUAUACAGACUAGUAAUCAAAUUUGUUCUUUGCUCUGGAGGAAGACACAGUAUCUGUCUUUCAAGGUUGUGUGUGCUACAAUUGUCCUUGAAAAGAUAGUCUAGAACAAAGGGUACCUCUACUUAUAAGGUGCAGAAAUGGAACAAAGCAGUAGGUACCUAUGCUUAUAAGGUGCAGAAAUGAGAGACAUGUGGAGAAUUGCCUUCCAACAAAUAUGUGAUGAUUUCCCUAAGGAGUGGGUUUCCCAGUCCUAGGAAUUCUAGGCUAGUUGGGAUUAAGAAUUGUGUGUUAAAUACCACAGAUGCCUCCUAUGCACUACCUCUGUGAAUCAUUGUUUGUCAUAAAAUACAUUGUUGCCUUCAGCAUGGAAAAGCUGUGAAGAGAUGUGGUAGACAGACUUCUCAGAUGAUUGCCAAUGAUUCUCUCCAUCAUAUGAUCCUCCAGUUUAAUGUGGGUGGAACUUCUGAAUACUAUGAAAUUUCACUCCAGUAAUUGUUAUAUUUUUUAAAAAAGAGCCUGAGCUAAUCAGGUGAUCUCUUUAAAAGCUUAGAGUGUUUUCUAGGGCUAUUCAUAGAGGAUGUAGUCUGAGAGAAGGAAUACCUCCUGGCUUGGAAGAAAGCAAACAACCAUAUUGUGAUUGUCUUUGGGGGCCAUGUGGCAAGGAACUGUGGAUGAACUCUAGCUGCUGAGAGCAGCUCCUGACCAAUAGCCAGCAAGGAACGGGCACGUCAAUCACAUACUGGAAGGAGCUGAAUUCUGCAGUGAGGACAUAACACUGGAAGAAGAACCCAGCUCCAGAUGAGAAUGCAGCCCGGUCAACACUUUGAUUUCAGCCUGUGAGAAACUGAUCAGAAAACUGAGCCCUGCUUGGACUUCCACCCUACAAAACUAGCAAAAUUUGGGAACAAAUGGAAAAGUCUGUGGAUCCAUAGUUUCUGCUAUAACAAACAAAGCUUUUAUGUUUAUAUUGCACUUCCACGUCAGAAGAACCUGUGGAAGAAUCCAGGAAAAUGCCUAGUGUCAAUGUGAGGAAAGUACAUGGAUGGCAGCAGACUACCAGGACAUGAAAAGAAUAGCUCCUUCCUGACUUACUCUCUCUUGGAUCAAUUACUGUGAUGGAAACCAGCUGCCAUGUCAGGAGUACACUCAGCUGGCCUAAUGGGAGGCCCACACAGAGAGGCACUGAGGUCGCCAAUCAAUAACCAACACCAAUACAGCGCAGACCAUAAGCCAGUGUCCCAACUAGGGACUUGAAGAUGAGUCUACAGAGAUGACCAGAGCGGUGCUGGGUGAACUUCAUUUUCCUUUCCUAGUCAAGAAGGCUUAAGUAAUAGUAUGAGGAAAUACCUGAAGACCCAAACCCUGGUAGAAAAGACACUGCUGUCAUGGCAACAUUCUAACUUUAGCACAUUGAAUAUGUCAUACUACUCUCUCCUGGACUGCAGAGUUUUUGCUGACAAAUCUGCUGACAGCCAUGUUGGAACUCUCUUGAUUGUGGUGAAGCCUAAGAAACACUGUCUAAGCUAAAGGGCCAAGGUCAACAUCAACAGCGAAAGAGGAGACUUUGGGACUUGGAAGUGACUCCUAAAAUAGAGUAUUUUUAAAACUAUGGAACAUAACCUCAAUAACAUUAUUGAGAAUGGCUACUUGGCAAAUAAGGGAACUUUUGCAUCAGAGAUUAUUUAUGAUACAUCACAAUAGCAAUCUUAAAAAUGGAAGCAGAUUCUGAGAGACCUAAAGCACAAAUAAAUGAUAAAGGAUUGCAAGUGUAAAUAUUAGGUUUCUCUAGGAUGAAGAAAUCUCCUUAAAAAAAGGCCUACGUUUCAAAGCCUAGCUGUGCAGGAUGAAUGAAAAUCCAUUUGCCCAAUAAACUAGAAAAUCUAGAAGAAAUGGAUAAAUUCCUUGACACAUACACCCUCCCAAGACUAAACCAGGAAGAAGUUGAAUCUCUGAAUAGACCAAUAACAGGCUCUGAAAUUGUGGCAAUAAUCAAUAGCUUACCAACCAAAAAAAGCCCAGGACCAGAUGGAUUCAUAGCCGAAUUCUACCAGAG